UACGAGGGGGGCAAGCGUUGUUCGGAUUCAUUGGGCGUAAAGGGUGCGUAGGUGGCGCCGUAAGUCGGGUGUGAAAUUUCGGAGCUUAACUCCGAAACUGCAUUCGAUACUGCGGUGCUUGAGGACUGGAGAGGAGACUGGAAUUCAUGGUGUAGCAGUGAAAUGCGUAGAGAUCAUGAGGAAGACCAGUGGCGAAGGCGGGUCUCUGGACAGUUCCUGACGCUGAGGCACGAAGGUCAGGGGAGCAAACGGG
rnacentral:rRNA from 1 species